rnacentral:rRNA from 1 species
GAUGAACGCUGGCGGCGUGCCUAAUACAUGCAAGUCGAGCGAACGGACGAGAAGCUUACUUCUCUGAUGUUAGCGGCGGACGGGUGAGUAACACGUGGAUAACCUACCUAUAAGACUGGGAUAACUUCGGGAAACCGGAGCUAAUACCGGAUAAUAUUUUGAACCGCAUGGUUCAAAAGUGAAAGACGGUCUUGCUGUCACUUAUAGAUGGAUCCGCGCUGCAUUAGCUAGUUGGUAAGGUAACGGCUUACCAAGGCAACGAUGCAUAGCCGACCUGAGAGGGUGAUCGGCCACACUGGAACUGAGGCACGGUCCAGACUCCUACGGGAGGCAGCAGUAGGGAAUCUUCCGCAAUGGGCGAAAGCCUGACGGAGCAACGCCGCGUGAGUGAUGAAGGUCUUCGGAUCGUAAAACUCUGUUAUUAGGGAAGAACAUAUGUGUAAGUAACUGUGCACAUCUUGACGGUACCUAAUCAGAAAGCCACGGCUAACUACGUG